AUGGCUGCUACCUACAUUCCGGUUAGCGUUGUGAAGCAUAAAUGAAAUAAACACGUAAUCGGUUGAUACACCCCGAAAUUCCACAGAUCAUGAGGAUAUAUUAUUUGUCUGCUUGUGACCUACCGUUAUCGAUCACCAGACCCGAGAGUCAACAUGUUUAUUUUACACAACGUUUUCACGAAACAGCAAACAUCUUACAAGCAGUAAAAAUGGAUUCUCAAGGAGGGGAAAAAAGGUCAAAACUAAGAAUAUCAAACAGGAACCUAAAAAGAGGAUUUCCACUCGGCUGACAAAGAUUGCUAACUAUAAGUUCACUGUGGAACCUAAAAAGAGGAUUUCCACUCGGCUGACAAAGAUUGCUAACUAUAAGGUUUGGAUACACUUUAGAUCUGAAAGUAAAUCAUUUUCAUGACUUUUUAUAUAGCUAAUUUACUACAUGUAUUUCGUGUUUUAUAAGUUGUCUGCUUUUUGUGCUUUGGAUUU